AUGAUCCUGUGGCUGAACUUGGUGUCCUUCCUAGCAGUCCUCAGAGGUGUCCAAUCUGCAGCCCAGUUGGUAGAGUCCGGAGGGGAUGUGAGAAGGCCUGGAGAGUCCCUCCGCCUCUCCUGCCAAGCCUCUGGGUUCAACUUUGGGGGCUACCACAUGGGCUGGGUGAGACAGGCCCCUGGGAAAGGCCUGGAAUGGGUUGCAUUAAUAUAUACCGAUUCCAGUGGAAAAUUCUACUCAGACAAAGUCAAGGGACGCUUCACCAUCUCCAGGGACAACGCCAAAAGCCAAGUGUAUCUGCAAAUGAACAGCCUGAAGCUGGAGGACUCGGCAGUCUAUUACUGUGCAAGAGACACAGUGGGAGGAAGUGAGUCUGAAGCCUGGCAAAAACCUUCCCUUCCUCAGAGCAGCUCUCCAAGUUGA